UGGGCUUAGCGGAGAUGGAGCAGCCUGGUC
rnacentral:piRNA from 1 species